UUGAACGCUGGCGGCAGGCCUAACACAUGCACGUCGAACGGUAACAGGAAACAGCUUGCUGUUUCGCUGACGAGUGGCGGACGGGUGAGUAAUGUCUGGGAAACUGCCUGAUGGAGGGGGAUAACUACUGGAAACGGUAGCUAAUACCGCAUAACGUCGCAAGACCAAAGAGGGGGACCCUCGGGCCUCUUGCCAUCGGAUGUGCCCAGAUGGGAUUAGCUUGUUGGUGGGGUAACGGCUCACCAAGGCGACGAUCCCUAGCUGGUCUGAGAGGAUGACCAGCCACACUGGAACUGAGACACGGUCCAGACUCCUACGGGAGGCAGCAGUGGGGAAUAUUGCACAAUGGGCGCAAGCCUGAUGCAGCCAUGCCGCGUGUAUGAAGAAGGCCUUCGGGUUGUAAAGUACUUUCAGCGGGGAGGAAGGGAGUAAAGUUAAUACCUUUGCUCAUUGACGUUGCCCGCAGAAGAAGCACCGGCUAACUCCGUG
rnacentral:rRNA from 1 species